CAGCGAGCCGCGAGGCCUGGCGGUGAGGACGCCGCACCGGCGUCACCGGCUUCGGGCGCCCGUGCCCACGCCGGGAAGUGAGCACUUUGGCUGUUCCAGGGGUUGACUCACCAAGACGGCUUGGCCUGUGCGGGGCAACCAGGAGAGAAAGAGGCACAGCAUAAUUGUACAGCGCUCCCAGCAUCCACUGCCUCCUGGCACAUAUGCCGGAGCAGACGUACAGGAAGGCCCAGGCAUGGGAAUAAGCUCUGCAGAUACAAGCACUUUCCUCCUAGCAGAGCAGCAGCCACAAAGAAGGCUUGUCCCSACUGAACCGCAGUGAAAGGGGCACAGUGUUUGCCCACAGGGUGCAAUCCAAGUGCUGGUGGAGUCAAGGCGUACUUUAAAAGGAGMUGGAUUUGCGGAAUACUUUUAAUAGUAAGCAAUUGUUUCUCAUUACUCCUCUGCUAUUACCGAAAAAAAAAAAAAAGCACAACAUUUUACAGGCAAACAAGGAUAAAGGCUAGACCUCGUUAACAACCAAACAUCUUGA
rnacentral:lncRNA from 1 species